CUACGGGGGGCACCAGUGGGGAAUAUUGCACAAUGGGCGCAAGCCUGAUGUAGCCAUGCCGCGUGUAUGAAGAAGGCCUUCGGGUUGUAAAGUACUUUCAGCGGGGAGGAAGGGAGUAAAGUUAAUACCUUUGCUCAUUGACGUUACCCGCAGAAGAAGCACCGGCUAACUCCGUGCCAGCAGCCGCGGUAAUACGGAGGGUGCAAGCGUUAAUCGGAAUUACUGGGCGUAAAGCGCACGCAGGCGGUUUGUUAAGUCAGAUGUGAAAUCCCCGGGCUCAACCUGGGAACUGCAUCUGAUACUGGCAAGCUUGAGUCUCGUAGAGGGGGGUAGAAUUCCAGGUGUAGCGGUGAGAUGCGUAGAGAUCUGGAGGAAUACCGGUGGCGAAGGCGGCCCCCUGGACGAAGACUGACGCUCAGGUGCGAAAGCGUGGGGAGCAAACAGGAUUAGAUACCCGUGUAGUC
rnacentral:rRNA from 1 species